UGGGGAAUUUGCACAAUGGGCGCAGCCUGAUGCAGCACGCCGCGUGAGGGACGACGGCCUUCGGGUUGUAAACCUCUUUUAGUAGGGAAGAAGCGAAAGUGACGGUACCUGCAGAAAAAGCACCGGCUAACUACGUGCCAGCAGCCGCGGUAAUACGUAGGGUGCAAGCGUUUCGGAUUAUUGGGCGUAAGAGCUCGUAGGCGGUUUGUCGCGUCUGCUGUGAAAACUGGAGGCUCAACCUCCAGCCUGCAGUGGGUACGGGCAGACUAGAGUGCGGUAGGGGAGAUUGGAAUUCCUGGUGUAGCGGUGGAAUGCGCAGAUAUCAGGAGGAACACCGAUGGCGAAGGCAGAUCUCUGGGCCGUAACUGACGCUGAGGAGCGAAAGCAUGGGGAGCGAACAGGAUUAGAUACCCUGGUAGUCCAUGCCGUAAACGUUGGGAACUAGAUGUAGGGACCAUUCCACGGUUUCUGUGUCGCAGCUAACGCAUUAAGUUCCCCGCCUGGGGAGUACGGCCGCAAGGCUAAAACUCAAAGGAAUUGACGGGGGCCCGCACAAGCGGCGGAGCAUGCGGAUUAAUUCGAUGCAACGCGAAGAACCUUACCCAGGGCUUGACAUAUACCGGAAAAGUUCAGAAAUGUUCUCCCCGCAAGGUCGGUAUACAGGUGGUGCAUGGUUGUCGUCAGCUCGUGUCGUGAGAUGUUGGGUUAAGUCCCGCAACGAGCGCAACCCUCGUUCUAUGUUGCCAGCACGUAAUGGUGGGAACUCAUAGGAGACUGCCGGGGUCAACUCGGAGGAAGGUGGGGAUGACGUCAAAUCAUCAUGCCCCUUAUGUCUUGGGCUUCACGCAUGCUACAAUGGCCGGUACAAAGGGCUGCAAUACCGCAAGGUGGAGCGAAUCCCAAAAAGCCGGUCUCAGUUCGGAUUGAGGUCUGCAACUCGACCUCAUGAAGUCGGAGUCGCUAGUAAUCGCAGAUCAGCAACGCUGCGGGAACUUCCC
rnacentral:rRNA from 1 species